GUCUCUUUGGAGACAUCUGAUAAAAUUGGAACGAUACAGAGAAGAUUAGCAUGGCUCCUGCGCUUUGCUUCAAAAAAAAAAGAUUAAAUGGAGUAUU
rnacentral:snRNA from 1 species